UACGGAGUUACAAAGGACGACAUUAGACGAAUCAUCUGGAAAGAUGAAUCAAAGAAGGUAAUAAUCCUGUAGUCGAAAAUGUUGUCUCUCUUGAGUGGAUCCUGAGUACGACGGAGCACGUGAAAUUCCGUCGGAAUCUGGGAGGACCAUCUCCUAAGGCUAAAUACUCUCUAGUGACCGAUAGUGAACCAGUACCGUGAGGGAAAGGUGAAAAGCACCCCGGAAGGGGAGUGAAAUAGAACCUGAAACCGUGUGCUUACAAGUAGUCAGAGCCCGUUAAUGGGUGAUGGCGUGCCUUUUGUAGAAUGAACCGGCGAGUUACGAUUUGAUGCAAGGUUAAGCAGUAAAUGUGGAGCCGUAGCGAAAGCGAGUCUGAAUAGGGCGUUUAGUAUUUGGUCGUAGACCCGAAACCAGGUGAUCUACCCUUGGUCAGGUUGAAGUUCAGGUAACACUGAAUGGAGGACCGAACCGACUUACGUUGAAAAGUGAGCGGAUGAACUGAGGGUAGCGGAGAAAUUCCAAUCGAACCUGGAGAUAGCUGGUUCUCUCCGAAAUAGCUUUAGGGCUAGCCUCAAGUGAUGAUUAUUGGAGGUAGAGCACUGUUUGGACGAGGGGCCCCUCUCGGGUUACCGAAUUCAGACAAACUCCGAAUGCCAAUUAAUUUAACUUGGGAGUCAGAACAUGGGUGAUAAGGUCCGUGUUCGAAAGGGAAACAGCCCAGACCACCAGCUAAGGUCCCAAAAUAUAUGUUAAGUGGAAAAGGAUGUGGCGUUGCCCAGACAACUAGGAUGUUGGCUUAGAAGCAGC
rnacentral:rRNA from 1 species